rnacentral:lncRNA from 1 species
UGGUGGAUAGCAAUAGGUGCGUGUCGCACCUAAUACUUUAUUUCUUUGAUCUGUUUUGGGUUGGUUUUAUAGGGGAGCUAGUACAGAUAUACUAUAUAGUAGUACCUAAACUAUCUAGUACAAGCCGACUCGGCCAGGGCUACUAGUCCGGACCAGACUCUCAUGCCUAAUCGUGAUUAGUUCCAACAAAGUUCACAUUCCUGGUCGAAUUUUGAAAAAUAAGAUGUUACGUGUGUAAAAGUUCGAAGAGAGAUGAUUCUCAAAAAAAAAAGUUCAAAGAGAGAUUAUUUUCCUGCUCACGGGGAACAAUAAUGAGUUGUUAGUUUUUUGAAUUCGAAUGAGGUAUUCCACGUCAUUUUUUCGUUUGCUUUCAUUUGAUUCACAUUCCUAGUCGAAUUUUGAACACAAAAUGUGUGUAAACAGUUUGAAGAAAGGUAUUUUCUUUCUCACUGGGAACAAUAGUGAUUAUGCUGUAGGUAUUCCACAUCAUUUUUUAGUUGGAUAUAGGUGUUCCUCAUCAUUUUUUAGUAUGAUUUCAUUGUUGCUAAUUAAUAUUACUACUAUAUUUAUUUGUACUGUAUGAUGUGCUACCCUGCUAAGGUCUUCUCUUCCAUGCAUGGUGUGAUGAUGUAUGGCUUUUGCUUUCGAUUCUUGAGAUAGCUUUCCUCAUGGUUCUGUGAUCUUUGUGCUAUUCUUUAAUUUCUUGAGGCUGCUUUUAUUGUUAGAUUAACGUGAGAAAUGAACCAGCACGAGUGGUUCUGAUGAACUCCCUGAUAUUGGUUUGUAGGGAAUGAUGGUGGAUGUCAGUUCCUAUUGAUUAAUUGGGCUAGCUUUGUGAGGACAACAAUGGAGUGCUGCAAGCAGAUGUCUACCAAUAUAUACAAGUCACAACAGAUGGAGAUGAAUUGUUAGCUGGACGCAUCUUCGCUUCUUGUGCCACCUGAUUCCAUCUACCCUUGGUGAACAUUCAAUUCAUUAUCUCACCUUGUUUUUGAUGUGCUAUUAUAAUAAGGGUUGGUGCUGGGCAGGAGUUUGCAGUGUGAUAGAUGGUUGCUUGCCCCUUCCUCCCAGCUUCUCCAGCCUCCGAAUUAUCUUGUUCAUUUAUCUUGGUGUGCUUACUCUGUAUUGAACUGAACAUUCCUUGUUUCAAGAUUUAACUUGUUGAAAACACAAUUUAUUCGAGAUGCAUUGUAAUUUUCUCAGUUCUACUGUAACUUUGUGAUGAAAUGUUGUUUCACUCAUUUCGUUGGAGGUUGUAGCACCUGUCCUGCAUCACAAGGGCAUCAUCGCACUAGGUGUCAGGAUAACUUAGCUGAGUUACUUGAUGUAAUUUUGGCUGCGCUAUAUGCUGCGAGAAACACCAGGUAGGUACAUAUGUAAAUUUCCGAUCACUCUUGGUAAUGUUUUAAAAAGGGG